GUCUGUGUCCAUACCACCCUGAAAAGCACCUGAUUUUGUCUGGUCUCAGAAGCUAAGCAGGGUUGGACCUACUUAGUACUUGGAUGGGAGAAUGCCCAGGAAUACUAGGUGCUGUAGGCU
rnacentral:rRNA from 1 species